CUCUCUUCCGCUGGCCGGAUUUGACUCAAUUUUGGAAUAAGGAAGUCUUAUUUCCAAUAAAUUUAGAAUGUUGCCACAGAUUUCUCGAAAACGCAAGGGGAAAACCACUCUGCUCAUUGCCCUCGAGUAGGCUGUGCCCUAAAGUUGCCCAAACGUGCCCGAAGGUGCCCGAGUGAGCCCUGAAGCCAAGAAAAAACUGGUCGGUGCUUAGCAACCGUGUUACUUUGUUUGUUUAUAUAGUUUGAACAAAUCUGUCAGUGUUGAUUUUUUGGUUUUGCUUAGAUGAAAUUAAUUUUCAUCUUUGAUUCGCUGGAAUAAUUCUAAUGUUGCAAAUUUUGCUCACUUCUUUUUGGAAAAAAAAUAAACAAACCACUAAGAAGUGGUCCCGCCCAGCAAAUUCUGUUAAUGAAUAUUUCAGCGAUGACCCGAAGCUGGUUCCAGAACUAAACAAUUCGUAGACGAACGUGGCUGAAUAGUGUGUGUUUCGACAAAAUCACCAUCAGUUCAAUAAAAUUUAACGAAAAA